rnacentral:rRNA from 1 species
ACGCUAGCUACAGGCUUAACACAUGCAAGUCGAGGGGAAACGGCGUUUAGUGCUUGCACUGAAUGGACGUCGACCGGCGCACGGGUGAGUAACGCGUAUCCAACCUUCCCAUAACUAAGGGAUAACCUGCCGAAAGGCAGACAAUACCUUAUGUAAUCCUUUGACGGCAUCAGAUUAGGAUUAAAGAUUUAUCGGUUAUGGAUGGGGAUGCGUCUGAUUAGCUUGUUGGCGGGGUAACAGCCCACCAAGGCAACGAUCAGUAGGGGUUCUGAGAGGAAGGUCCCCCACAUUGGAACUGAGACACGGUCCAAACUCCUACGGGAGGCAGCAGUGAGGAAUAUUGGUCAAUGGGCAAGAGCCUGAACCAGCCAAGUAGCGUGCAGGACGACGGCCCUAUGGGUUGUAAACUGCUUUUGUAUGGGGAUAAAGUCAAUCACGUGUGAUUGUUUGCAGGUACCAUACGAAUAAGGACCGGCUAAUUCCGUGCCAGCAGCCGCGGUAAUACGGAAGGUUCGGGCGUUAUCCGGAUUUAUUGGGUUUAAAGGGAGCGUAGGCCGGAGAUUAAGUGUGUUGUGAAAUGUAGACGCUCAACGUCUGACUUGCAGCGCAUACUGGUUUCCUUGAGUACGCACAACGUUGGCGGAAUUCGUCGUGUAGCGGUGAAAUGCUUAGAUAUGACGAAGAACUCCGAUUGCGAAGGCAGCUGACGGGAGCGCCACUGACGCUUAAGCUCGAAGGUGCGGGUAUCGAACAGGAUUAGAUACCCUGGUAGUCCGCACAGUAAACGAUGGAUGCCCGCUGUUGGUACCUAGUAUCAGCGGCUAAGCGAAAGCAUUAAGCAUCCCACCUGGGGAGUACGCCGGCAACGGUGAAACUCAAAGGAAUUGACGGGGGCCCGCACAAGCGGAG